ACGUGAGUCACUCCCUCCUCUGCAAUCCGAUUCAAACGCCCACCGAGAGAGAGCACAGAAAAAGCUGAGCCUCUUCCUUUGGAGGUGCCCUGAGACUCUGCUGUAUGCUUCAGGAGGGUCUGAGGAAUCAGAUGGGGAAAGACAGUUGCUGAGAGAGAGUGGAGAUGGGAGAAGUUGUUUCACAGGAGGAUAAAAAUCAGAACUGGAGGCUAUCAAGAAGCAUCCCAUGAGCCGUGUGCAACAUGUGUCUCUGACAAAUCUGGAAAUGAAGACUUUGGAAGGAGUAAUGCAUCCUCCCCACAGAAGCUGCUGCAUGCAGAUCCAACACAGAGCCUGGCGUCAGCCGCAGCCGUUCUAACCGCUGCACUAGAACAGUCACAAUUUCAGUUUCUUUCCUUUGAAGAUUUCUGGUUACUCACUAAUUAUUGACUAUUUUUUUUUUAUCUUAUUGUACACAUUAGAUUGUAAACAAAUAAAGAGAGACCAUUUGAUUCCA